rnacentral:rRNA from 1 species
AAUGAACGCUGGUGGCAGACCUAACACAUGCAAGUCGAACGAUUUAUAAAAACUUCGGUUUUUAUAAAGAGUGGCAAACGGGUGAGUAAUGCAUGGGAAUCUACCUAGAAGUUUGGGAUAACUAUUAGAAAUAGUAGCUAAUACCGAAUACACCCCGAGGGGGAAAGUUGACUUUUAGUCUUCGCUUUUAGAUGAGCCCAUGUUAAAUUAGUUAGUUGGUGGGAUAACAGCCUACCAAGACGAUGAUUUAUAGCUGGUCUUAGAGGAUGAUCAGCCACACUGGAAUUGAGAUACGGUUCAGACUUCUACGGGAAGGCAGCAGUGAGGAAUAUUGGACAAUGGGCGAAAGCCUGAUCCAGCAAUACCGCGUGAGUGAUGAAGGCUUUAGGGUUGUAAAACUCUUUCAGUAGGGAUGAUAAUGACGGUACCUACAGAAGAAGCACCGGCUAACUCCGUGCCAGCAGCCGCGGUAA